ACCUCAUCUUAUCCCAAAUUGAUCUCCCAUCGCCCCAAAUCGAACUCCGAUCCAUAGGCGAUGCUCUUCGCUUUGAGGUAGGCCAAGAACGACCAUGGGCUACCUUCCCUCGACGGCGCGGUUGGACAGUCGUCAUUCUUCGAGUGAUUGGCGGUGUAAAUCUUCCAAGCCGCGACGCUGUGCUCAAAAGAUCGACAUGAGAUAAAAACCUAGGUAUUCUAUUGUGUACUUAACAUCCACUUCCUUUUCUUUAGUAAUUUUAAAUAUUUAGGAGUGAAAAUUUCUAAGAAUAUUCUGGGAAUUGUCUUGUAGUAGUUUAAGUUGCUUUUUCGGUAUUUUCGUGCUUGUGAAAUUGAAGGAAUUUUCAUGGUAGAAUGGUGGAUCUCUUCUUACCUUAUAAGUGCUUAACUUUUCUGUCAUCCCGUGUCUUUCUUAAUCUUUCUCUGCAUUUUGGAAGGAUGACCAAUGCCAUGGUGGUAAGUAAUCAAGGGAUUGCUAUGCUGUGCUAUUUUUUUGACAUAAUCUUGUUAUUUUGAUGAGCUAUGCUUGCUGAUUACCUUAUGUGUUUUGUCAAUUGAGGUUGAGAGAGGGAUGAAGAAGAUGGUGACAAUGAUAGCACUCUUUAUUUUGAAAUAUAUAUGAGGGUGUGAAAUUGGGAUAUUUUGUUUAUUAGUGCUAUUUAAUCAAUCUAUCGAUGAGGUUGUGUCUUGAAUAUGUGGUUCAGUGCUCUCAAUAUACUAUAGAAUAUAAUGUGAAUGAAAGGGAUUUGGAUAGAAAAUGGAUUUAUUUGCAGUGUUCUCAGACUUCAUUUAGUACUAAACUUAAGCAUAUUACCAACAGUAUCUAUUUUUAUGAAAAUCAAGCAAUAAAAUCUAUUUACUCAUUAUCCGAUUCUGCUAUUUCUUCUGUUUGGAAGUAACCGUAUUAGCUGUAGUAUCCAGUUUUGUGGGAAGACUAAGUUUGUUUGGUUUGUUUUUCUGUUUCAGGUAUUUUGAGGAUAGUAACAAAUUUGAACGUAAAUUGGGUAUUGAAGACUAGGUUUUUGAUAUAAUAUUUAAAAGAAAAAUAAUUGUUGAUAUGAUAUUUUUUUUGUUUUUGUUUUUGCAGAAAUGUAAUUAAGAACACAAAAGAGCAUAGCCUAGCACUUUUAACUUGAAUGGUGUAAUGAAAUUCUUAUUGUUUCGUUUAUUUUAUAUUGUCGUAACAGAAACUGGAAUAUUUGGUGAUGGUAGCCCAAAUAAGUUAUUCGAGAAGUGUGAAUGCUACUAUUCCUAACAAUAUUUUGUAUCAAAUGCAUUAUUGACCUUUUCUUGGAUAAUGCUAUGACCUAUUCAUCAAUUCUUGAGGAUGGGGUUUUACCUACAAAAAUUAACACUCUCCUUCAGACAUACUUAUUUUUCUAUUACCCUGGCUGAUUGAAUUUUUUAAAUUGGAAAAAUAGAUCAGGUUUCUCAUGAGGAUAUCACAGCUGAUGGAGAAGAUGAUGAGUAGCUUUUGAGUGUAGUAUUUUAUAUGAAGACGCGAGUUCUUAUUUGUUCUUCUUAAAUUCCGAGGAAGCCAGAAUUUCACUCAUAAUCCAGUUUAUAGAUUUCUAUCAAGAGAAAUUAGCAUAAUGGUAGGUAUUAAUUAUGAACUUAUGAAUUCUAUACAGGUUGUUCUUAUCUCAGAUUGGUAAAUGACUACUGGGUCAUAUUUUGUGAAUUACAUGUGAUAUUUACAGGACUAGCAAAACCAGUUCUAGUUGGAUUUUUUCAUAUUUUGUGAAUUACAUGUGAUAUUUGAAGGACUAGCAAAACCAGUUCUAGUUGGAUUAAAAAAAUCCUUAGUUUCGAGACCCUUAAUAUAAUAGAUGUUAUAUUAUAGCCUUGUAUGUUUGAGUCAUUACUUGUUAUUUAUUAUAAUGAAAUAUGUUAUUUUUUAGAGCCAAUCGAUUUCUAUUAUGCUUGAAUCAUGUAAUUAGCAUUAUUUAUGUGUAAUUUAAGUAUGACCUGAGGCAUCGGGGGUUUGAACCCAUGACCACAAAUCCAACCCCUACACCACCAAGCCAUCCCUUAUGGGACAGGUAUUUGUUUUUAUUAAGAUGAGUUGUUGCUUCACUAAUCGUUUUCUUAUUAUUAGGAAUUUGGUUGUUAAUGUUAAAGUCGUGCUUUAGUGUACUGCUUCAACUUUAUUUUCUUUAUUUUAUUUAUGUUUCAGUUUUUAAAAUUGUGGAUUACUUCAAAUAACUUAGUUAGGGUUGUUCCUAGCAUUUAGGAAGUAGUCAGUGAUUCAGUUUUUAUUGAUGUCUUUUAAAGCCUCUCUUCAAGUGAAUAAACGAGAUAUCCAGUUUCAGAUUCUUAAUUUUAUUUUUCUUUUCUAAUUCCUAAAAUAUACCAAUAAAUAAAUACUUGAAAUUUCAUACCUAACUCUUGCAUUGAUUAAAUAUAUGAUAUAUAUACUUUCAAAAAACCUACAUUUCCUCACUAAUUUUACAAUUAACAAUCACUGUUUAUCUAACUUUUAAUUUUAUGGGUAUUUCUGUGUAGUAAGUACCACAUGUAAUUUGGAAAAUAUUUAGUAGAACAGAAUUUCUCAUACAACUUCUUCACAUGUAUGAUUGCAGCUGGUCUUAGAUAAGUGAUUUUAAUACAAUUGGACUGAAAAUUAUGUCAAUUGAUUUUGAUCGCUACUUAAAACUAAUCUAUGUCUCUCUAUGAUACGGUUUCACCUACUUUUCUUGGAAGGUUUUUUACAUGACCUUAUCAUCAGUUAAGGGGCUUACCCUAGUAUGAUUAUUUUUUUUUUAUUGUUCCUGAUAUUAUAAAACAUAAUUUAUUUACUCCAUGAUUUAUCCCUCAAAUUAUUUUUUUGUAAGAGUUUGACCCUAACUUAUCAACUGCAUAUUAUAUAAGUGAUAUCCUAGUCAUUUUCAAGUAUUUGUUAUAGUUGUUACGAUCCUGGAGACCGUACUUAUUUUUCCGACUAAUCCGGGAGCGAAGAUCCUCAGUGAGGUACUUGACGGAGAUAACAUCGAGUGGACUUAAAAGGAUUUGGUUCGCCGCCCCUGAUUGCUUCAUCAGUGAUUCUGCAAUCGAUGAGUUUGGUCAUUCGUAGUUGUCUUUAUUCACAUACAUUAAGAUUGUAUUGUGGUUUGAUACUAAAAUUAUCUAUUUAGCUAUUACUUAUUGGAUUAGGGGAUCGUAUGUUAGGAAAUUGUUAGUUGGUUGUUAUGUUGUACGACAUUGUGGUAUUUUGGGAUGCUUUAAAGCACUUGAUGUCUAAUAUUCUUUUUUUA